rnacentral:lncRNA from 1 species
GAGUAACGCAAUAUUGUAAUGCAUUACUUUUAAAAGUAACUUUCCCCAACACUGGUUACAACUAACCCCGCGGUACUUUGUGCCCUGCGCUCCCCUAUUGUGUGUAGUAAAAAAGAUACUUUAUGAUUUUUUGUUGUCUACUAAUUGAAAUAAUACAUUUUUAAAUAUUUUGAUGAUCUGUUGUGAGAUUAGUACUUAAGAGUGUUGUAUGUGUAAAAAAAAAAAAAAAAAAAAAACAAAUUCGCAAGACGUCAGCCCGUUCUUGUUUCUUCCUCCCAGCAUGGUGACUGUGGUUUUUGACUUUGUAUGCAGUCUGUCAACGGUGCAAUUGUUUCUGCUGACUGCUAAAGUACCCGUCACUGUUUCUUCAUACGAAAGCUUUGUCCAGAGUAUUUUCUUCUUAGGCUGUGCUGGAAACUUUGCGUAGCAGCAGCUGUUUAGCUCUAGACAGUCUGGAUGGCUGCAUCCCAGUUCAUGGAGACGAUUUCCAGUGAAGAUGAAGACCAAGACCUGAUUGAGCUGGAAGCUAUUAGGAGACCAUACAGAGCAGUCAAAUUUGAUCUGACACAUGCAAAUCAAGAAGACUUAGAAGCACAGCAUUACCAUGAGCCCAAACACACCAAUGCCCUGCACAGGAAUAACUGGUCCUCUUCAACCCAGAGGGUCCUGUCUUCCAUGCCUAGUCGCUCUAUCAGAUUUAAUCAGUCGACUGCGCUCUCCCGAUCCACAGAGGCGCGUAGAAGACGACCUCUUAGCAUUGUGUCCAC